rnacentral:rRNA from 1 species
GAUGAACGCUGGCGGCGUGCCUAAUACAUGCAAGUCGAGCGAACAGACGAGGAGCUUGCUCCUCUGACGUUAGCGGCGGACGGGUGAGUAACACGUGGAUAACCUACCUAUCAGACUGGGAUAACUUCGGGAAACCGGAGCUAAUACCGGAUAAUAUAUUGAACCGCAUGGUUCAAUAGUGAAAUACGGUUUUUCUUUCACUAAUAGAUGGAUCCGCGCCGCAUUAGCUAGUUGGUAAGGUAACGGCUUAGCAAGGCAACGAUGCGUAGCCGACCUGAGAGGGUGAUCGGCCACACGGGAACUGAGACACGGUCGAGACUCCUACGGGAGGCAGCAGUAGGGAAUCUUCCGCAAUGGGCGAAAGCCUGACGGAGCAACGCCGCGUGAGUGAUGAAGGUCUUCGGAUCGUAAAACUCUGUUAUUAGGGAAGAACAAAUGUGUAAGUAACUAUGCACGUCUUGACGGUACCUAAUCAGAAAGCCACGGCUAACUACGUG